UGGGGAAUAUUGCACAAUGGGCGCAAGCCUGAUGCAGCCAUGCCGCGUGUGUGAAGAAGGCCUUCGGGUUGUAAAGCACUUUCAGCGAGGAGGAAGGCGGUGAGGUUAAUAACCUCAUCGAUUGACGUUACCCGCAGAAGAAGCACCGGCUAACUCCGUGCCAGCAGCCGCGGUAAUACGGAGGGUGCAAGCGUUAAUCGGAAUUACUGGGCGUAAAGCGCACGCAGGCGGUCUGUCAAGUCGGAUGUGAAAUCCCCGGGCUCAACCUGGGAACUGCAUUCGAAACUGGCAGGCUAGAGUCUUGUAGAGGGGGGUAGAAUUCCAGGUGUAGCGGUGAAAUGCGUAGAGAUCUGGAGGAAUACCGGUGGCGAAGGCGGCCCCCUGGACAAAGACUGACGCUCAGGUGCGAAAGCGUGGGGAGCAAACAGG
rnacentral:rRNA from 1 species